UACUGCUCUCUUGGUGUGGUGCAGGUGAAGUACCCCUCUACUGCUCUCUUGGUGUGGUGCAGGUGAAGUACCCCUCUACUGCUCUCUUGGUGUGGUGCAGGUGAAGUACCCCUCUACUGCUCUCUUGGUGUGGUGCAGGUGAAGUACCCCUCUACUGCUCUCUUGGUGUGGUGCAGGUGAAGUACCCCUCUACUGCUCUCUUGGUGUGGUGCAGGUGAAGUACCCCUCUACUGCUCUCUUGGUGUGGUGCAGGUGAAGUACCCCUCUACUGCUCUCUUGGUGUGGUGCAGGUGAAGUACCCCUCUACUGCUCUCUUGGUGUGGUGCAGGUGAAGUACCCCUCUGCUGCUCUCUUGGUGUGGUGCAGGUGAAGUACCCCUCUACUGCUCUCUUGGUGUGGUGCAGGUGAAGUACCCCUCUACUGCUGUCUUGGUGUGGUGCAAGGUAAAGAACCAGCAUGGAACCCUAGAGAUGUGUUA